GUCUAGGACCAUACCACCCUGAACAUGUCCAAUCUCGUCUGAUCUCAGAAGCCAAGCAGGGUCAGGCCUGGUUAGUACUUGGAUGGGAGAAAGGACAAAAGGACCAAUGAGUAGAUG
rnacentral:rRNA from 1 species